UAGGAACUAAUGAACUUAAAAUUCUGGCU
rnacentral:piRNA from 1 species